CCUCGGUUUCCUUCUUAUCCACAGGCUCCCAGCUGGCUUCUGAAAGGCAGUCCUCACUGUGAUCAGAGCCGAAGUCUUCGGUGUCACUGCUGUCUGACUCCUUCAAACAUGUCUGCAGCAGAGACAGCAGCAUCACUCCUUCAGCACCAGCACUCGCCAGUGUCCUACUGUCCUACGUGUGUUACCAUGCAGAAACUGAUGUGGUGCCUCACAACAGUCAUGAAUUUUAUUAGUACUGUCCUCACCGUCCAAAGACAGUGAGUCACAGAGAACUAGGGCUGGGCACACAGACAGUAUUCAACAAGUGACACUGAAUGGAGAGAAUAAAUGGAUGGACAGGUGGCAGCUGGUGAAUACUCACAAAGUCGUCCUCAUAGUCCAUGGGCGGCUCCGCUGGAGGGGCACAGCAGUGACGGAUGUCUAGCCUCAUCUGAAGCUCUCGAACCUGUCGACGUAGCUGUUCUACCUCUUGCUUGUACCCUGCUUCGAUCUGCCGUAGCCUAUGCUGGAUCACAUCCGUGGGAAAGGGGAGUCCAUCGUCAUCCAGGUAGAGAGGAGGCACAGGAGAAGGGCAGCUCAGGAGAGAAGGCUUUGUGCUGGAGACUUGCUUUGGAUGACUAGACAACCACAUCCGGUUGUUCUUUCCUCCUGGGCCUGUACAAUGUCCACUGGCAUGACUAGAACAGACGGGUGACUUCACCCCUUCUCUCUGAGCCCACUGGCCCCCAAAGCAGGGCCCUGCAGCUUGAAUAUGCUUAUUGCUCGGCCUCUUGCUGCAACAGCCGUAAGCAAGCCGUCGCCGGGGGGUGGUCUCCCCACUCGGGAAUGACGUCAUCAUCCCUUGGAAGCUGUCCCAGUUCGACCCCAAAAAGGAGAACUCACUUAUCUGGCUCUGAGAAAUUGGCUUUCGGGCCAACUCCAACGGCAUCUUUCCAAAGCGAGGAUUUUCUACUAUCUGUCCAUUCUUACUUCCCCUCUUGCCGGCGUCUUCCUUCUUGUAGAUCAGAUCUGGCACCGAACUAGGCUGUUCCUGGCGGGAGAUACUCGCCGUAGACCCAGGGGGAUCUUGGCUGAGGAGGUCAGUAUUUGGCUCUUGAGGAGUUUGGCUGGCAGCACUUGGUGGGUUGCAGAGGCUACCCGGACUGUGAUCUAGAGUACACCGUGUGGGCACAGCCUGCAUGGAGUCUAGAUGGGCCUGCUGGGGAGCACCUGUCAGGGAAUCCUGGGAAGGCUCAGGAAAAUCACAGGCUCCACCACCCUUGCUGGAAAAAUUAGAGAGUGCACUGACAACUUCCUUUUCUGGACACUGUUCAGGUGGCUUCCCUAAGCCAUCAGAAGUCCUCUGCUCCUCUUGGGCUGGAGAGACUGCAGCCAGUGCCUUAGUCUCUUCCAGGACUUUGAUCUCUGAGGUGGUGUUCUUCAUUUCCCAGGGCACAGAAGUACUAAGUAAUUUGUAACUGAGAGAACAGCUUUUGUGGCCCUUGAAAGGUUUACUGCUCAAGUAGUCUUUCUGGCUGCUGGGCAGAGGAGGAGGAAGGCCCACUUCCCCCACAGCCGGCUGUGGGCCUCCUGCCCCCGAGUCUACUGUCUCCGUGCCUUCAGAACCGCCGUGCCAGGGCUCCAGGCUGCCUCUGACCUCCUGACAGUGGUUAUUCAGGUUAGGGUCACUGGAGGUACGAGUGAGAGGGCUGCUCGUGUCACAGGCAGAAAGAAGGUCAUCCAUGGACCUGGUUUUAGGUAACCUGGAACGACAAACGUAGACCCACCAGGUCAGAAAUAGGAAACACUGCCAAUCAGGUCAUCAGAGCAGUACCAGAACCAAUUUGACAAAACAUUUAAUAUUACAAAUAACCGAAGUUCUCUGGGGGUCUUCUCUGCACAAAGCGUAAGACACACUCAUCUUCAAGAAUGCUUAUCUGUCCCCAGCUCUUGUAAGUUCUCACCCGACAUAAUCUUCCAGGGCCAUCUCAAACACUUUGAUGGUUUCAACUGCCUGUGAUGCUGAUGCACCCCACUCCCCUAUAUAAAGUCUGUGCUGGACACUAAAUUUAGGGCUUUGUGUUUGCAAAACACAUGCUCUAUCACUAAGCCACACCCCAAAGCCUACUGAUGACUCUAAGUCCACAACUGUAGCCAGUACCACACCUAACUGUCAAGGCAGCAUCUCACUGUCUCCAUCAGUCAGACAACUGAUUAACUGCCAGAAAGUGCAUUGUUCAACCUCUCAGGCACUUGGUUAUCACCUCCACAGGACAUUAACGUUAUUCCUUAGAGACACCAGAAGGCUUCAGAAUUUAGGCAACCAACCACAAUUAUUAGUCACAAACUUAUCAAGAAGGCAUGACUUCUCAACACAAAUGUUUGCAGACACUUAGCAGUGUGUCCCUCCAAUUCUCCAAACCCCACAGAAACUUCUUGUAGAUGGCACUCAAAGAACUAAAGAAACACUCCUAUUCACCAAAUGAGUGACAGGCAUUUUCAAGAGUGGUUGUCUUGAGGGUGUGUUUUUUUUUUGUUUUGUUUUGUUUUGUUUUUUGGUUUAGCUUUGGUGCCUGUCCUGGAACUCACUCUGUAGACCAGGCUGGCCUCAAACUCAUAGAGAUUCGCCUGCCUCUGCCUCCCGAGUGCUAGGUUGGGAUUAAAGGCAUGCCUCACCACCGCCUGGCUGGUUGUCCUGAUUUUUACUGCAAAAUCUUUUGAGCAAUAAAAAUUUAGGGAAAUUGUCCAAGAAACAGACACUUCACUGGGCUCUUCUCAGAUGCCAUAAUCAGCUCACAUCAAAAAACCUCCAAAAGCCAAGUCACAAUAUAGCUUAUUUUAAGUACUUAGUUUUGAUAUUUAUUAUAAUAAAAGACUGUUUUUAUAUUUGA